rnacentral:misc_RNA from 1 species
GAUGAAGAACGUAGCGAAUCGCGAUAAGUAAUGUGAAUUGCAGAUUUUCCGUGAAUCAUCGAAUCUUUGAACGCACCUUGCGCUCCUUGGUAUUCCGAGGAGCAUGCCUGUUUGAGUGUCAUCGAAACCUCGGAUCGACGCUUCGACCCCGUCGAAGCUCGGUUCGGACUGUGGGAGUCUGCCGGCGAAGCGUGACUUCGUCGGCUCUCCUCAAAAGCAUUAGCUGUGGGUGGCGAGCCUGGCAUGGCACGGCCUGUUCGACGUCGUAGUGAUCGUCGGGGGCUGGAAGUGUAUGGCUCGACGUGACCCAUGCUUCUCGAGUCUUGCGAGCCCGUCCCUCUGUGGGACGGCCGCGCCCCAUCGAAGCUUGACCUCAAAUCAGGUAGGACUACCCGCCGAACUUAAGCAUUUCAAUAAGCGGAGGA